GUAUAUUUAUUUUAUUACAUUUUGAAUAUUUUUAAUGAUUCAUGAAAUCAAAAUAAUUUUAGAAUUUUAAGUUGAAAAGAAAUCGAGUUACGAAAACUGAUUGAAUUUAGAAAACGAUCCUAGUUGGUUUUGGAUUCGAAUCCUACAACUAAAUCCUAGUUCAAGCCCAUUUUUGCAAAGCCCAAACAAUAAACCCCAUACUCCCUUCUCUAACUCUAAUUCACGUGAAACAAAAUAAAAAAAAUAAAAAAAUAAACAAAGCCAAAACCCCAUUUGAACUUCACGUGAAAACGUAAAAGAGAAAAAAAAAAAAGAAGCAAAACCUAUCUCUCAUUCAAACUCACGUAAACUAGCAAACCCUCAAACCUUGGUACUCUCUGCCCAGCCGCCAGCCACCGUACACCCGCCGGACCGCCACCGUCCUCGUCACAGCCGCCCCAGCCGCCGACCACCUACCGCCGCCGCGACCGCCAGCUGCACGCAGCAACCGAGUCGCGCCACCCUCUCCUUGCUGUCGCCGAGCAGUGCUGCCGCCUCCGGCCGCGCCUCACCGCCUGCCACCGUCGUCCUCUCUCGUCGGCGGAGAAUUCUCCUUAGGCGACUUUUGAAUUAUUAAAGUGGUCUUGCAGUUUGUUUACACAAGUCUCUAAGGAUCAAUAAGCGUUGCCCAUCUACAGGUUUGAAGAUGAUGCAUCAUUGGGAUCGGGAUUAGAGAGCUUGUAGUUAUAUUUGUUUUAUUAAGUGAUUUGGUUUGUUAACUUAGAUUUGAAUGUUGUCGUACUAUUCAUAUUUCCUUAUUUCCGUUAAUUGGUUUUGGACUUAAUAUGUAAUCGAUUAUUUAUGAACCUAAAAGUUAGUUUUAUGUUUUCCGCUGCAAAA